rnacentral:rRNA from 1 species
GACGAACGCUGGCGGCGUGCCUAACACAUGCAAGUCGAGCGGAGCCAUCUAGAAGAUCCCUUCGGGGUGAUUCUGGGGAAGCUUAGCGGCGGACGGGUGAGUAACGCGUGAGUAACCUGCCCAUUAGUGGGGAAUAACACAGAGAAAUUUGUGCUAAUACCGCAUACGGAGUAGAAGGGACAUCCCUUCAGCUUAAAAGAUUUAUCGCUAAUGGAUGGACUCGCGUCUGAUUAGAUAGUUGGUAGGGUAACGGCCUACCAAGUCGACGAUCAGUAGCCGAACUGAGAGGUUGAUCGGCCACAUUGGGACUGAGACACGGCCCAGACUCCUACGGGAGGCAGCAGUGGGGGAUAUUGCGCAAUGGGGGGAAACCCUGACGCAGCAACGCCGCGUGCAGGAUGAC